rnacentral:ncRNA from 1 species
CGAUUAUCUUCUAUUCUCUUUCAUCCAUAAUCGAUUAUCAAUUUAAAGAGGUGAGUCAGGGUCUAAAAUCAGGUUGAAAGGCAUAAUCGAUGGAUAACAGGUGAAUAUUCAUGUACUAUCUUUUGUUGGUCUCGAGAGACGGAGGAAGCUAGGUUAAUCGAAAGAUGGUUACCAGUUCAAGGACGCAUGGUGCCCUUGCUUUUUAAGGGUAAGAAGAGGUAGAGAAAAUGUCUCGAGCUAAAAUUUGAGUACCAGACACUCAACACCAAAGUAAUCCAUGUCAUACUCCUAGAAAAAGCUCGAACGACCUUCAACAAAUGGAUAUCUAUACCUGAAACCAACACAUAUGGGUAAGUAGAGAUCACCUAG